rnacentral:rRNA from 1 species
GACGAACGCUGGCGGCGUGCCUAAUACAUGCAAGUAGAACGCUGAAGGAGGAGCUUGCUUCUCCGGAUGAGUUGCGAAUGGGUGAGUAACGCGUAGGUAACCUGCCUGGUAGCGGGGGAUAACUAUUGGAAACGAUAGCUAAUACCGCAUAACAGUAGAUGUUGCAUGACAUUUGCUUAAAAGGUGCAAUUGCAUCACUACCAGAUGGACCUGCGUUGUAUUAGCUAGUUGGUGAGGUAACGGCUCACCAAGGCGACGAUACAUAGCCGACCUGAGAGGGUGAUCGGCCACACUGGGACUGAGACACGGCCCAGACUCCUACGGGAGGCAGCAGUAGGGAAUCUUCGGCAAUGGACGGAAGUCUGACCGAGCAACGCCGCGUGAGUGAAGAAGGUUUUCGGAUCGUAAAGCUCUGUUGUAAGAGAAGAACGAGUGUGAGAGUGGAAAGUUCACACUGUGACGGUAUCUUACCAGAAAGGGACGGCUAACUACGUG